AAAAACAAAAAUUAUCAAAAUAACCUAAAUACUAAAUUUUAAUUAAAUAACCUAAAAACAAAAAUUUAGAAACAGAUAAACUAAUCUAAUUACUAACCCCAUCCCUGGUAUUCAGGGGUGCAUUUGGUAACAUUGAAAUUGAAAGUAGAUUCUAAUUUUUCAUUGGAAUCGAAAGGAACUCUCAAACCUAGACAAUAAACAUGAUCGUAAACAUGAUCGUUGUAGUCUUCCAAAUCAAAUUUCAAAUCUAAAUUAAAAAUCCCCACAUGAUCGUAAACAUGAUCGUUGUAGUCUUCCAAAUCAAAUUUCAAAUCUAAAUUAAAAAUCCCCAAUCGUGUCUCAUUAUCAUACUCAAUAAAUUGUUGAUCAUUGAGUUUGAUAAAACUGUUCCCCUAAAACAUGAUAGGCUUAAGGAAAAUGGUCUUCUUAUAAGAUGGGUCAAAGGGCGUCAUAUCCACCAUAGCAAAUUGAUUUCCUUUAUAAGAUGAAAUCGCUUUGAUUUUGGUAUCCAUUACUCUGGCACAAAAUUAUAGUAUAAGGUGUUGUCGGUUGUAAGAUUGAACUGCUGGAUAGAGGCAUCAACUACGGUGAAUUUCAUUGGUGAAUUGUCAUCUUGAGAGAUAGAAGAUAUUAGAAAAUCAAUGGCUAACCACCCAAGUACAGUAAACAAAGAAAAGGCCCCGAAGGCAAUUGCGCAGGUAGGGGAAGGUUUAUGGGACAUGAUGGAGUUAUUAGGGUUUCUGAUUUAGAUUGAUU
rnacentral:lncRNA from 1 species